rnacentral:rRNA from 1 species
UACGGGGGGUGCGAGCGUUGUCCGGAAUCACUGGGCGUAAAGGGCGCGUAGGUGGUUUGAUAAGGGCGUGGUGAAAGUCCGGGGCUCAACCCCGGAUCUGCCGUGCCGACUGUCAAACUCGAGGACUGUAGAGGCAGACGGAAUUCCGGGUGUAGCGGUGGAAUGCGUAGAGAUCCGGAGGAAGACCGGUGGCGAAGGCGGUCUGCUGGGCAGUUUCUGACACUGAGGCGCGACAGCGUGGGGAGCAAACAGG